ACGCCGUAAAAGCAAAUGAUACAAUACAAUAGUGCAUUGGGAUCAAUCCUUUAUUCAUUCAUUCAUUGUAGCGCUUGCUGGGUUUGCCGUGUUCGCGUUCGUUGUUCGAUCGGAGAAGACCCUUUUCCCUCUCGUAGGUCACUUGAGAUGGCAUCAAGACACCGUGUUCACAGAGAACCCUUGAAUGCUCGAAGGGGGUACCCGCCAGAAGGGCCAUAUGCUCGCGUGCCUCCCAUGCCUCGCCCGCCACCUCCUAUUCCUCCUCAUCCGGCUGUGUUGGAAGAGGAACUUGAAUUUCAGCAUGCCGAGAUGCGGAGACUCGUGGCAGACAACAGGAGGUUGAUUGAUGACCGAAUGGCGUUGCAGCGAGACCUUGGGGCCGCUAAGGAGGAGCUUCAUCGCAUGAAUCUUGCCAUUGGUGACAUUCGCGCCGAGCAUGAGGCUCAUUCGAGGGAGCUUGUUGAGAAAGGCAUGAAGAUGGAGGCUGACCUUAGGGCAAAUGAGCCUUUGAAGAAUGAGGUCAUGCAACUGCGAUCUGAAGUUAAGAAACUUAACAAUCUCAAACAAGAGCUGACAGGUAAGGUUCAGACACUCACUCAAGAUGUUGCAAGGUUACAAGCAGAUAAUCAACAAAUUCCUAUGAUGAGGUCUGAGAUUGAUGGUUUGCACCAAGAGCUAAUGCGUGCCAGAACCAUGGUGGAUUAUGAAAAGAAGGCAAACAUGGAGUUCAUGGAACAGAGGCAGUCAAUGGAGAAAAAUUUGGUUUCCAUGGCCCGGGAAGUUGAGAAAUUACGUGCUGAGCUUGCAAGUGCUGAUAGCAGACAUUGGGGUGGUGGUAUGUCAGGUGGGCCUUAUGGAACCAAAUUUGGUAGCCCAGAGGGUUUUCCAGCUCCAUAUGCAGAUGGAUAUGGUGUUCACCUGGGUGCUGCAGAUAAAGGUCCUAUGUAUGGGGUAGGUGCUGCUUCGAGAAAGGGGCAUGAGAAGCCACGCAUGAAUCGUCGUUGAAAUUCAAGCAACUGCUAUUGGUGAUGAAGAAAGUCUUGCCAUCACUUUGCAUUCUCUGUUUGCAGAAUAGCUGAGAUUGAGUUUGAUGUCCUUCUGUGUAUGCAUGCGACACCAGUGGUCAUUUAUCUGGAACUCUGGAUAUAUUUAGUCCUAAACUGGCAUAUAUGGAAAGCUGGGAUUCUUGUUGGGGGAGGACUGAGAAGUAACGAAAAACCCCAUAUAUUUAUUUUGAAUAACACCGGUAGGUUCUUUAUUAUUUCAAAAUGUGAAAUUCGUUGAAGCUUUUGUUGGACUGAAGAACCAUUGGUCACUGGUGGAUGGAUAUAUUUUACCUGGCUGUGAUGGAUUGAGAUAAACGCAUUAGCAUGCCUUUGUUGGGUUGGAUCACAUUAUUGAGAUUGGAAAUGAAAGCUUUAGCGGUAAGCAACUAAGCAUGGGUUGUUUCUAACUUACAAAUGUUAGUUUAGUUCGCUAGAUGGACCAUGAGUCCUUGCUUCAGAUAUUGUUUACCGUGUCAUGUCUGAGGGAUGCCUCAGUAUCUAUCUUAACGUAUUGUUCAGUACAAUUCAGAUUGAUUCUACUCAUCCACUACCUGUUGUUUUGAGGCUGGGUCGGGAAAAUGAAGCCUCUUUUACACACUUUUUUUUGUUGUUGCUCCUAAUUGGUUUUGGCAUUUAAAGAUAGUCAUGUUUGCAAUGUUUGGAAUAAUAUCGAUGCAAAUCCUACACAUUGCAGACAACUCGGGAUCAUCAUAUUUUGUUGAUGUGUUAUCCUCGUGCAUGGACAGCUUUAGGUUCUCAGAGCUGCUCAACAGGAGUUGAGAGACUAUUGAUGCGGAUGGUUUUCAAUUUCUUACCCAUAUAUUUCAGUUAUCUGUUUCCUUUAUGGUUGAUUGUGGUGCAGUUGCUUUUGAUCGUGUAAUUGCGGUUUAUUUGUCACUGAACUAGAUACCCGUUACAUAUUAGGUUUUAUUAUUUUAAGGGUUAUAAAGUUGUGGCCAAAUUAUCUAUUUCGUCUUGCAAA